rnacentral:lncRNA from 1 species
UGUAACCAAAUGAUCGAAGAAUUUGAAGACGACAUUUAUGAUUGGUAUCUUAAAAACCAAAGUGAAAAUCCACUUGAGUUCAUUUGCGCUGAUAAAGUACUUACUUCAAAAGAACAAGAUUGUUUAUAUGCAUCCACAGAAGUACCUGAUUUUGCAACACAACCUAAGCCAAUAGAUAAAGAUGAAUCGACAAAGCGAAAUUUCCAUAGAGGAGCAAAUUUAGAGCUUUAAUUAACGCAUAUCUAAUAGUAGUUGUCAUAGUUACUAGUUUCUUUCUUAUUUUAUUGUGUGAUUUUUUUUACAAAAAUCUGUUGUUAAUUAAUUUAUUUUUUUCAAGUAGAAAUUUAAUAAUAGUUAAUGUUAAAUUAAAUAUAUGUUAACACUAUUUCAUUUAAUAUUUUAAUAUUACGUCAAAACAAUAUUUAUAUUUGUAUAUAAUACUUGAAAUAUAUGCGUAAGGAUUGGAAGUAAUAAAUACAUUGAAAAAAAAAA